UAAUAAUAAUAAUAAUAAUAAUAAUAGCUUGUGGGAUCCUCUUCCCAGAGAGGCUCCAUAUAUUUAAGUGCCAGCCAAAAACAGUCCUCUUCAUUCCUGCAUUGCAGGGGGUUGGGCUGGGUGACCCUUCCAACUCUAAAAUUCUAAAAUUCUAGGAUUCUCCCACAACCUUUGGCUCAUUAAAUCAUCUGUUUAAAGUGGUUGGGGUUUUUUUUUGGGGGGGUGUAAUUUGUUAUUUGCUAGGGUAUGUGUUAUAUAUAUAUAUAUUGCAAAGCGCCCCAUGGUCUUGGAUGAAGGUGUAGAAAUAUAGGAAAAAAUAAUAAUUGCCCACCCUUCCCCCAUAAGGUCUCAGGGUAGGUUGCAGCAACUGAAAAGCAUAACGCUGCCACAAAAACACACAACGUUACACAAGGUGUUGUUGUUUUUUAAAAAGUUGCUUGCGAUUGUGGGAAGAAGGUGCUUCCUUAAAAUACAUAUAAAAGUAGGGGUGUGGGGAUGCAAAGGAGGGGAAGAGGAGGUCUAGGAAAGGGAAUAAAGGGUGUGUGGGGUGUUAACUGAGGGUGGGCGCUUGUGGGAAUAAUUAUUAUUAUUAUCUGCCCUUCCCUUUAAGGUCCUGGGGCUGGUUACAGCAACUAAAAGACAACACUAAGAUGAAAAACACAAUGUUGCACAAUGUUUUAAAACAACUUUGCAAUCUCAGAAAGAAGGCAUGUCCUUAUAAAUAUGUACCUCAGGUGCCAAAAGCUGGGUCAGAAGAGGUGAGGCUUCAGCAUUUACCGAAAAUUAUAUCAUUAUGAUUACUUGGUGAAUUUGUUGGCUGCUUAGGGCAACCCAAUCUGACUUACAACCAAACAGACAAGCACCACUGCUGUCCCCUGCCACAUGAGAAUCAUGUCAAAACUGAGAGGGAAAAGUAGUAGUAGUAGAAGUAGUAUGAUGAUGAUGAUGAUAAUUGUUAUUAUCACCACCCUUUUGCCUGACAGGGAACUCAAGGCAGCUUACAGAUAAAAAUAAGAACUUCUAAAGUAAAGUUGCCAGACGCCCCACGAGAGUUGCACAACUUGGGGGGAAGAGUUUCCACAGAAAAUGCUGUCUCCUGCUGUUUCCACCACCUCGAACUUCUGAGGGCAGAGGAGUAAUCAAGGGGGCACCCUCUGCCAGCCUUAGGACCCAAUAGGUCUGUAGGGAAGGGGGCAGUCUUUCAACUAUUUGAGGAGUUUAGGGCUUUAAACACUGUUUAAUGACCUGGUGUGUUUGUGUUUAUGUUUUUAAAUGUUGUAAGUUGCUUGUGGGCCUUUGGGUCCCAAACUCUAGGUAUUGGGUUUUUUGUGUGUGUUAUUGUUGUUGUUUAGUCGUGUCCGACUCUUUGUGACCCCAUGGACCAGAGCACGCCAGGCACUCCUGUCUUCCACUGCCUCCCACAGUUUGGUCAGACUCAUGUUCGUAGCUUCAAGAACACUGUCCAACCAUCUCAUCCUCUGUCGUCCCCUUCUCCUUGUGCCCUCAGUCUUUCCUAACAUCAGGGUCUUUUCCAGGGAGUCUUCUCUUCUCAUGAGGUGGCCAAAGUAUUGGAUCCUCAGCUUCAGGAUCUGUCCUUCCAGUGAGCACUUCACUUCAGAAUGGAUAGGUUUGAUCUUCUUGCAGUCCAUGGGACUCUCAAGAGUCUCCUCUAGCACCAUAAUUCAAAAGCAUCCAUUCUUUAUGGUCUAACUCUCACUUCUAUACUUUUUAAAUUUACUGGUUGCUUCUUUACUGAAGUAACUCAAAGCGACUGACAUUAUGUAAGCAAACAAACAUGUACAUUAAAGCUAACACAACACAAAAACAUCUAAAAGACCAUAUUGUUAAAAGGCAGGGUUGAAUCAUCCCACCCGCUCAAGGAGGCCGAAGGCCUGGCAAAAAAGAAAUGUUUUUCGCCUUGCACCUAAAGCUAUGUCAUGAUGGCACCAAGCAAGCAUCCCUGCGGAAAACGUUCCAUAAUGUGGGGAGCCACCAAUGAAAAGGCUCCAUUCUCAUGUUGUGCUCCAGACCUCCUAAGGAAGGGAGCACUGGAAGAAGGGCCUCAGAUGACAAUCGCAAGGUCCAGGUCAAUUCAUCUGGGGAGAGCUAUGAGAGCCUUGAGCCACAUAAGUAGUAUUAGUAUUAUCAGUGGGUUGCAUGCAACUAAGUCCUACUCAGGGUAGACCCAUUGAAAUGAAUAAACCUAAGGUAGCCAUGGCUAUUAUUUUCAAUGGGUCUACUCUGAGUAGGGCUGUCACUGGAUACAACCCAAUAACAAUACUUUAUUAAGGCAGGCAGCUGGAAAUGAGAAGUAUGUCUCUUAAGAGCAUGUGACUUUAAAGGGGGGUUCCAUUUAUGGAAGGGAGGAGGAGAUCUGGGCAAGAGUGGAUGAAGGGGGCUUGGACUGAGAGGUUACAAUUUCAUUUACUGCAAAGUAACUGCUUAAUCUUUAACUCUUCUUAGUAGUGCAUAUAAAAUUACAAAAAAACAAAAGAUGAAUCACCCAAAGCAUUUUUUUUCAGUUGAGGGUGGUAUUAUUACUGAGCUAGAUGUUGAAUAAUGGAACAGGAAGAGCAGCUGGGAGAUGGGGGGCAUUAACACAUGUGAAGGGGGUCCAUGUGGGCAGGUGGUCUGGAAAGGGACAUCAACGAUUGGAAGGGCUUGAGAUGGGAUUGUUGUUAUUAAUGGUGUUGGGAUGGUUGUGGAAUGUAAGAGGAGAUGAUUAAUGACCACAUGUAACUAGAAGAGACAGGGAGGGAUAUCUGUAUGUGGGGAUUGGAGUAGCACUGGUAAUAGGUUGAGAUGGGUGUUGAAGUGUUACUGUAUAUGAGGGUGGGGAAAGCAGGUGAGGAAAUGAACCUGAGGGGGGUGGCAUCUGAGAGAGAGAUGUGUGUGCUAUAUUCAGUUGGACUUAUUCCCAAGUAUGGUAAGUGUGUAUAGGAUCUCAGCCUUAAAGAGGAAUCCAUAUAUGGAGGAGACCAGGGUUUGGGUUGAAUAAUGUUUGGCGUUUAAAGGGCACCUAUUCUUAGUGCCACUGGUAUUGAAAUGGCAUGUGUUCCUGAAUAGGUUGGGGGUGGGUUGAAUGUUGACGGAACUGAGGCAGAAGGGAAGGCAGUGUAUGGAGGUAGAGGAGCUGAAAGUGGUUUUCUUAGUGAGAGUUUGUCAUUCCAGGCAAGCAUCCUCUCUGAUCCAGGUCUCCCAGGCCACAAUGGGUCAGGGUGUCUGGCUUUUAAACCAGAAGGUUGGUGGUUUGUGCCCACCCAGGGACAGGAUUCCUGCAUUGCAUUGGACUGGAAGGCCCUUGGGGGCCCUUCCAACUCUACAGUUCUAUGAUUAAAUGUUUGAAGGAGCAAAUUCACAUGAGGAAGGAAGUCUGGGGAAGAGAAUGGAUUGGUAGUGUUGGCUAAGAGAGGGCGGGAGCUGCAGGCUCUGCAUGCUGAAGGUCCCCAGCAUCCCCAAGGUAGGAUGGUUGAAUUGCCAGUAUCCCCAAGUGAGGCUGGGAAUGUCCCCUGCCUGAAAUUCUGGAGAGCCUCUGUCAGUGGCUGCAGGCAAAAACUGAGCAAUGGUAUGACCUAGUUGUAAGGUAGUUUCCUAGGAAAGGUGGUGGUUAAAAGGGUGUCAUGGAGUUCAUUUAUAGAGGUGUAGAGAGAUGUAUGAGAGGCUGGGUAUAGCCCUCUGGGAAGGGUGGCUCAGAUUGAAGAGGGAGUGGUGUUAAAAGAGAGCUGGAUAGAUUGAUACCUUGCAGGGCUGGGGUUAGAUGGUAGCACAUUUCGGAAUGCUGAGAAUUAAGGUAAUGUAACACUUAAACCAGCAAGUCUUUUAUGUAAGUUGCGAGAGGGCAUGAAAAAUGUACAGGAACAGAUAACUUAAGAGCAAGUGACUAGGAUCCCAGGGAGGCUGGCUUGAAAUGUACUGUCUAUUUUCUCAUUUCUCCAUUCUCCCUUUGGCGGAGGGGGAGAGGGAGUUUAUUUUCAUUUUAAGGUGGAUUUACUGCCUUUCUACUCUCUUAAAAGUCCACCAGGACGUAUUGCAUUAAUGCUGUAUCUAUUUUACAGUUUUAACAGCCAGCAGUAAAAGAUAAAGGGACCACUGACCAUUAGGUCCAGUCACGGACGACUCUGGGGUUGCGGCGCUCAUCUCAAUUUAUUGGCCAAGGGAGCCGGCGUACAGCUUCCGGGUGAACCAGAGCAGCGCACGGAAACACUGUUUACCUUCCCACCGGAGCAGCACCUAUUUAUCUACUUGCACUUUGACGUGCUUUCAAACUGCUAGGUUGGCAGGAGCAGGGACCAUAGCAACAGGAGCUCACCCCAUUGCGGGGAUUCAAACUGCCGACCUUCCAAUUGGCAAGCCCCCUAGGCUUUGUGGUUUAGACCACAGCGUCACCCGCGUCCUGACACUCAGCAGUAGUGAAGCCAAAAGAAUAGCAUUGAUGAGAGCAACCAAAUAAGACACACACAGUUGCACCGUGCUCUGCUUUGUGUGGAAUAGAAAGGCUUUCUUAACAGUGUAAUUUCACACAUUCUUGCUUAGAGGUGUGUCUCACUCAGUGUUAGAAACUAGCCAAGCACCAGGCGCGUUUUGUGACUGGCAUGAGUCCAAUUGUGACCGACCACGUGAAGGGGUCAGGAAACUUUUUCAGCAGGGGGCCGGUCCACUGUCCCUCGGACCUUGUGGGGGGCCGGACAAUAUUUUUUUGGGAAAAUGAACAAAUCCCUAUGCCCCACAAAUAACCCUGAGAUGCAUUUUAAAUACAGUAAAAGGACACAUUCUACUCAUGUAAAAACAUGCUGAUUCCCGGACUGUCCGUGGCCGGAUUUAGAAGGUGAUUGGGCCGCAUCCAGCCCCCAGGCCUUAGUUUGGGGACCACUGGACUAGACAUUCCAUUGUGGCGACCGUAACCUAGGGUUUAAGGUGCCAUUUGGUGAUUAAAGUCUGUAUUGAGUUUCUAACACUGGUCCCACUGUACUUAGUGGUGUUUGCUCUGAGGACACAGUUCAGUGGUAGAGCACAUGCUUUGUAUGUUGAGUAUCCUGGGUACAACACCUGAUCUUUCCAGGUAGGAAUAGGAAAUAUUACCAUGGAAAGCCGCUGCCAGCUGAUGUAGAAUACCUUGUAGAGCCUUAUUUUAUUUGUUAUUUCUUAAAUUUCUAUACCGCCAUUCAUCCAAGGAUCAAAGCGCAGUUAAAAGGCCAUAGGUGGUUUAAUGAAUCAAAGGCCUGGGAGAAAAGGACUAUUUUUGCCUAGCGCCUAAAGAUACGUAAUGAAGGUGCCAGGUGAGCUUCCCUAGGAAGAGCAUUCCACAAACGAGGAGCCACUGCAGCUGACGAAGGGGGCAUGUGACGAAGGGCCUCAGAUGGUGAUGACAGGGUCUGCUCCCAUCAUACCUGACCAUUGGCCAUGCUGACUAAGGUUGAUGGAAGUUGGAGUCCAGCAAGAUCUGGAGGGCCCCAGCCCUGGGGUAAACAAGUAUCAGCUGGACCUGUGGCCUGGCUCAGUGUAAGAUAGUGUCGUACCGGUAUGUUCUUAGGAUUUGUUUCAUUUUUUUUUUUUAAGAAGCUCACUGGAGUAAGUUGGUGGUAUGAGCGACCUUAGGGAGAAGGGCACGACAAUAGAAAAGGCCUUGUGUUUCAUCUGCUAUAGCUUCUCAUUGGAAAACAGUUCAGGACUUCUCUGUAGAGACCAAUGCUGUCAAACCUUAUAGAGCAUUGCAUUGAAAACAUUACUCGUCCAUUUAAAUUGCUUAUGAGUCAAGACUUGCUGGGCUCUGUUUAUAUCAUCUGGUACAUCUUUAUUGAACAUCUAUCAAAAAACAUCCUUACAGUGACCACCAAGAGAAUGUUGGUAGAUAUGUUGUGGUGGUUGUUUAGUCGUUUAGUCGUGCCCGACUCUUUGGGACCCCAUGGACCAGAGCACGCCAGGCACUCCUGUCUUCCACUGCCUCCCGCAGUUUGGUCAGACUCAUGUUCGUAGCUUCAAGAACACUGUCCAACCAUCUUGUCCUCUGCCGUCCCAUCCUCCUUGUGCCCUCCAUCUUUUCCAACAUCAGGGUCUUUUCCAGGGAGUUUUCUCUUCUCAUAAGGUGGCCAAAGUAUUGGAGCCUCAGCUUCAGGAUCUGUCCUUCCAGUGAGCACUCAGGGCUGAUUUCCUUCAGAAUGGAUAGGUUUGAUCUUCUUGCAGUCCAUGGGACUCUCAAGAGUUUCCUCCAGCACCAUAAUUCAAAAGCAUCAAUUCUUUGGCGAUCAGCCUUCUUUAUGGUCUGAUCGCCAAAUAAUUGGUAGAUAUGGAUGAUGCUAACUUCUGACUUGGGACCUUUGGACUUUCUCUAAGUAAUAACAUCUUUUUUGUGUAUCUUAAAAGGUCUUGGGCAGUGAAAAAAUCUCAUUCGUAGUAUGUUUUUAUCUGGUUAAGCUUCUGCACUUUUUGCUUUAUUGUGAUAUGGCAGACAUUUAAUCACAAUGAAAAUGAAGGAAAAGCCCUGCUUUUCAUAACUUACAGCUACGCUGAUGACUUACAGCCCAUCUAAGAUUAGGGGUAGAUGUAUUGUUAUUAAUAGAAUUUCUCAGUUUACCCCUCUCUGUUAUUUCCCCCAGCGAUUACUACCUGAAAUGACAGGUGUUGGCUAUCCAGAAGCUGUGGGUGGAAUGCUGUUCAAAGAGAGCCAUAUAUGGGGCUCAACUAGGUGUGUUGAGGCAAAUAACGUUUUCUGGGGAAGAGACUAGCCCUGUUACGCUAAUAUCACUGGAGAGAGGAAGGGCAACAGAAAGUGAUUUAGAAGAAAACACUGUCAAAGAAAUGAAUUGGGCAGGGUUGAGUAUUUGGGGGGGGGUCAAGAACUGGGAAGGAGAGACGUGUCUAUAUGGUGCUGUAAGACUGUGUAUGGAAGCAGUUGGUUGGGAAGGUGGCAGGGUAGAGAAUGUAUGCAUAAUAAAGAUAUGGGGAGGGGGAUGAGGCAAGGAAUGGGGCUGUUGUUGUUUAGUCGUUUAGUCAUGUCCAACUCUUCGUGACCCCAUGGACCAGAGCACGCCAGGCACUCCUGUCUUCCACUGCCUCCCACAGUUUGGUCAGACUCAUGUUCGUAGCUUCGAGUACACUGUCCAACCAUCUCGUCCUCUGUCGUCCCCUUCUCCUUGUGCCCUCCAUCUUUCCCAACAUCAGGGUCUUUUCCAGGGAGGCUUCUCUUCUUUGGUGAUCAGCCUUCUUUAUGGUCCAGCUCUCACUUCCAUACAUCACUACUUAGGAAACCAUAGCUUUAACUAUAUGGACCUUUGUCGGCAAGGUGAUAUCUCUGCUUUUUAAGAUGCUUUCUAGGUUUGUCAUCGCUUUUAUCCCAAGCGAUGCUAGAGAUGUGAAGGAGAAAACCUCAAAAAAUUCGGGGGGCGGGGGGCGG